AUAGAUAGUUAUCGUCCGGGUGCCCCGAGAGGGGUUAAAAGGGAAGAGGGUGGAAAUCCCUCGCUGUCCCGCAACUGUGAACGGUUAUGAAAGCCGCAACAACGCCACUGAUAGCAUCGGGAAGGCGCGGUGAGUAAGUAGACCCGUGAGUCAGGAAACCUGCCAGGAUGAAUGCUUAAUU
rnacentral:ncRNA from 2 species